rnacentral:rRNA from 1 species
GUCCACGCCGUAAACGAUGUCUGCUAGCCGUGGGGGUCCUUGAGGCCUCGGUGGCGCAGCUAACGCGAUAAGCAGACCGCCUGGGGAGUACGGCCGCAAGGUUAAAACUCAAAUGAAUUGACGGGGGCCCGCACAAGCGGUGGAGCAUGUGGUUUAAUUCGAUGCAACGCGAAGAACCUUACCAGGUCUUGACAUCCAGCGAACUGCCCAGAGAUGGGCGGGUGCCUUCGGGAACGCUGAGACAGGUGCUGCAUGGCUGUCGU